GAUUCGGCUCCAACGAGUUGGCUGUGCGAACACUCAGAAGAUUUGGCUCAGGAGAUUGAGCAGUCAGCAUUCCUUCCUUCUUAGUAAAAACUCCAGGACUACGGGCCGAGUAAACGCUCAAAAG
rnacentral:sRNA from 1 species